AACCGCCUAGUGCGGACCCGCAUGCUAGGUGGUGUGAGGGGACGGGGGUUAGCCGCCCCCCUCCUACUCGAU
rnacentral:autocatalytically_spliced_intron from 1 species